rnacentral:lncRNA from 1 species
UCACAUGGUUUUAUUGAAUUACAGGAUCAGGGAGCAUGGGACCCCGAUUCCUUGUCUCUAGAGUUGGGACUUGCAACGUUACGAGAGUUGGAAUGUAUCAGAUAUCAGGAAGCACAAGAAGACUGGAGAAAGAGUGAUGAUAACAAGUCUGAUUCCUGCAAGCAAAAAGAUAAGGAUCAGGGAGCAUGGGACCCCGAUUCCUUGUCUCUAGAGUUGGGACUUGCAACGUUACGAGAGUUGGAAUGUAUCAGAUAUCAGGAAGCACAAGAAGACUGGAGAAAGAGUGAUGAUAACAAGUCUGAUUCCUGCAAGCAAAAAGAUAAGGAGCAGGAAGCAUGGGAUCCCGAUUCCUUGUCUCUAGAGUUGGGACUUGCACCGUUACAAGAGUUGGAAUGGAUCAGAUAUCAGACAACAUCAGAUGACCGGAGCAAGAGUGGCGAUAACAAGUACGAUUCCUGCAAGACAAGAGAUAAGAAACCUAUCGUGGAUUUGGCUGAUGAAUUCGAAAACAAUACCAUAAAAAAAAAGAUCACGCUUCUUAGCGAAAAAUACGAUUUCUUCAGACCAGUUGACAGAGAUGGCAGUUGCUUUUAUCGAGCUUUCAUUUUCAGUUACAUGGAGCGUAUUGUAGCAAUGCAGGAUGACUUGGAGCGCAUUAUUGAAGUUUCCCGUAUCGGAGAACGUAUUGGAAAAUACAAGCAAGCUUAUGCAAGAUUUGGUUCUUUUGGAAUACCUCAAGAAGAAUUCUUGAAAGCUCUUUCUGCAUUUGAACAAUUGAUCAACUUAAUUGAAAAGGGUGUUGCUGUUGAACAACUAUAUCAGAUAGAUGAGACUGACAUCACAAAAAACAGUUUACGCUUCCUUAGGUUUCUGACUGAGAUUGAGAUCUGCACACAUGAGGACCACUACAAGGGUUUUCUUCUAACAGCAGAUUAUUCAUCUGUUUUUGAGUUUUGCCAGGUUGAAGUGCGACCUGAGAAUGCUGAAGCGAGCAAUGAACAGAUGAAGGCACUUGUGGAAGCACUCGGCAUCCCCGUACUUGUGGAGAAUCUCGAUACAACCUCGGAGACUGACACCCCCAUACUAAAUCAGCAUUUCAUCUACCCCAGACCAGAAUCAGAAGAGGGCACGAUGUUGGGACCUCUGAAUUCGCAUGAGAUUGUCUCUCCUGAAAGCAGUGGUUACCAUGCAGCUAGAGGUGAGCUUCAGAAUCAGCCUAGUACCAGUGGCUCCAGUACAAACAGCUCAACAGAAGCAUUGGGACUGCAAUCAAUUGGCACCAGUUCAACUCCUAAUGAGCGAGAUGGAAAGGGAGACAGGACCAUCAACGACCUAUCCCCAGCAGAAAGAAGGCGGUUAGCGAUCUUGCUGUACAGGCCUGGGCACUAUGACAUUCUUUGUCCCAAGUAGACCUACCUUUCUCUGGAGUCUGGAAUACGUAGUGUGCUUGAUUCUCGACGGUAACAUUUGAGCUGUGGCUUGUAACUUUGUUCUGCCUGACCUGAGCCGUAGAGCUAUUCAUGUCCUUGACUUGUAUGGAGAUCUGUUGUUGCUAUUCAUCCCGUUGUCACAUAGCGUGUUGGUGUAGAUUUUUCUGCCCAAAUUGCGUAUUUGCGUUGGUGAGAAAUGCGGGCUAAAUUGCUUUGUGUUGUUUGGAGGUAUGGUUUUAGUGGAAGCCGAGCUUGAUU